AAAAAAAAAAACCGGAGUAUUAAGUUAGGGCAAGUUUCAGACGACACAAUCUGCUUCGACACUCCGCAGGACGCAGCCUCCGCUAUCGCCUCAGGUGACAAGGACACUCUUCUUAGGAUCUCGUGAGGUUAUUUGCCUUGAACUUGAAUCAAAUCAUUGCAUAUUGAGGGCCUCACAAUUGAAAGUUUGCCUAGGGCCUCUCAAAAUAUUGGAAUCUCAGGCCGGCCCUGGAACAAACCAGUGUUGGCGGAGGAGACAACUAAAGAUGGAGGAGGCGAGAAGUUUGUUUAUGGUUGCAAGUUUUGAUGAUUCCCUACACUGUGCUGCAAUUUAUGAAAUCAAAUUUGGUGAUGGAGGGGAAAUCAAAAUUGAUGGUCCUCUGGUGAAAGCGUUUAGUUGCUCUGAAGAGGACCAUUAUUCAUUGGUUGAUUGUGAUAUGGUAGGAUCGCAAAUAUGCUUGGCGGCUUCAUGUGAGCUAUCCGGAGCGUAUAAACGCAAAAUGAUCUCGUUCGAACCCCUCCUUUUCGAUACAGUUACCAAACAGCUCGAUAAGUUGCCAAAGCCACAAGCAAAAAAACCCUUUCCCAAAGUGAUGGCAGUGGGUGGAAGUUUUUAUGUGCUUUCUACAGAUACCCUGUGUUCUGGCUUCCGCAUAAAAUCUCCGUCAUUUGAACGUUUUGAUCCUAUUCAUCGGAAGUGGGAUUCUAUCAUACCUGAGUACCGUGUGCCGGUGAAGACAAGCAAGGCUGUUGUAGGUUACGCAGUCGUCAAUGACAUUAUUCUCAUUUCUGUAGAUGCAACUUAUAAUAGCUCAACUGAAUUCCAUUGUUACAAAGUCGGGAGUUCAAUGGAGAAGUGGCAGGUCGUUGAAAAGGAAGACAGGGAUGUGAGAUAUUAUGCCUUCGUUGGAAAGUCUGAAUUUGUUGACGAUUUCGUAUACACUUUGGUGGAGAAUUGUUUAUUGAUUGCAUACCACGUUACAUUUUCCACUGGAGAUGAUGAUGAUCGUACCAUUAAAUCUCUUGGUGCUCCAGUGAGAAUUGUCGAUACGGACUCUCCAAAGAUACCAUUUGAUCUGUAUGAGUUAUACACCUCGAGUCUUGUUCAUUUGGGAAACAAAAUAUUUUGUGUGGCGAGGACUGAAAUAAAAAGGGUGCCCCCUAAAGUUCAACAUGUUACCAUCAUGAUCUUGAAAGUUUCUGACAGCAUGGAUCCUGUAACGGUGAGUGCAGACUUCUACCCCUUGAAUACGGAGGGUCUUGGUCAGGCAAAUGUACAAUCACUUUUUUUGAACUCCCGGUGGAGUGAAUUUGACUACGAUUCUGAAUGCUGGACAAGUCUUAAGGAUCAGCCUGAGUACCUUGAGGAUUAUUUCUCUGUUAACACGCAUAUGCAGCCAAUGGACAUUGAUCCACCAAAGCUGGAGUCAGUACCUGGGGGCAGUGAAACUGCUAGAAAAAGAGCCGUCAGCUCAGCUUCAGUUUUGGGAAAAAGAACUAAGUAUGUAUUGGUGAAUGAUUUCCUGAAGCCGCUGGGUCUUGAAAAAUAUUCAAAAAUAUUCGAAUAUGAGGAAAUUAGUAUGCACAUUCUUGUACAAAUGACUGAUGAGGAUCUCAAGGAGAUAGGGUUACCAAAGGAUCCAAGAAAGGAGAUACUUUUGGCAUUAAAGUCAGUUUAACAUUUGGAGUUACUAUGUUCCUUGGCUUGUUUGCAUGGAACUCAAUGUUUUGGACUAGAAAAAUGAUAUAAUUAUGGAUAGGGUGUUUGUACCGAGUAAUUUGGCAGCUAUAUAAGCACUUACACUGUGAGAGAGUAUGUUUUUCAACUGGUGUGACUUUGUUCUCAAGGUUUUGGGACUAAAAUUUUCGGUUAUGUUGCUGGAAGUGCUAGUGAGCUUAUCAUUUGUGUAGCCAUUAGAAGAUUGAUUUGAUCAUUAACUUUUUAUCUGGCGUUUGAGAGCUUGUUCAACUUUGGCUAGGUCGGCCCCUCCGUCUCCAUCCUUUUAAACGAUUUUGUACUUUAAACUGUAAUUUUGGGACGAAGGGGAUAGGAACAGUGUUUAAAGGUAUAAGACUAUUCAGUGCCUUACUAAUUCUAGGAGAUUCAUUGGACAUUUACACGGAGAUAAUUGGAUAAUUACAAUCACUUUUCCUAGUUAUUCCCAUA